AUAAAGUUUUAUUUUGGCUUUUUAGUUUUCUUUUAUAUAAAUUUACAUGUAAAUGUUAGUGUGUAUGGGCAUUUUUCUAAAAGGGGGCCUUCCAAUAAGCGCAGUAUAUAACAUUCUUAUUUUUGUAAAUAAAGAAAGGGUUAAUAUAAUUUAUAAAUUCUGGUGAAACCUGUGCCAGCAGCCGCGGUUAUACAGGAGGGGUGAGAAAACUUUAUAGGUAAAAGUAAAGUGGAUUUCAGUUAACUAAAAUAUUUAUUUUUAGGUGAAAUUUUUAUAAAUAUAACAGUUAUUUUACCUAAUAACUGAUGCUUGAAAAAACUAAUUAAAAACUAGGAUUAGAUACCCUAUUAUUUUGUAGGUUAAUAAAAUUUACUUAGGUAGUAUUAGAUAAGUUCUUGAAACCUAAAAAAUUUGACGGUAAUUUAAACUAACCAGAGGAACUUGUCCCAUGAUCGAUAAUCCUCGAUAUACUUUACUUAAGUUUGUACUCAGUUUAUAUACCGCCGUCAUAAGGUUAUACUAGUAAGUAAUAAUCAAAAUCUUAUAAGAAAAUGUCAGGUCAAGGUGUAGCUUAUACUUAAGAGGAGAUGAGUUACAAUAAAUUUAUUUAAACGGAGAGUUGACUGAAACGUCGGCUUUAAGGUGGAUUUGGUAGUAAUUAAUUCUACAAGAAAAUUAAUGACUUUAGCUCUAAAUUAUGUACACAUCGCCCGUCGCUCUCAUUUUUUAAGGUGAGAUAAGUCGUAACAUAGUAGAUGUACUGGAAAGUGUAUCUAGAAAGUU
rnacentral:ncRNA from 1 species